GUACUGUGUAUAUAUAUAUAUAUAUAUAUAUGUAUGUAUUUUUAUCCUUUAUGUACAGUUGCAAUCAAAAUUAUUCAACCCCAUGACCUGUCAUUUUGAUGCCAAAAACACAAUUUUAUGAAAAAAUUUAAUAAAGGCAUCAGUAAACAAUUAUAGAAAGUUUAUAAAUACACAUUUGAGUGUUAAUUGAUGAUGAGAAGCAUCUGUCGCCUCUCUACUGCAAUCUUGGCCCAUUUCUUUCUAUAAAAAAACUUCCAGAUCACUGAUAAUUUUUGGCAUUCACGUUAUCCCUGCUUUCUUCAAAUUCAACUAACUUUUCAAUGAGAUUUAAAUCUGAACACAGGCCACUCAAGAACAUUCUAAGACUGAUCCCUGAACCAAGCUUACGUAUAUCUGGAGGAAAGUACAUUUAUAAUCUAGGGGUUUGGUUUUACUGGAAAGAAAGUUGCCAAUAAAGUGCUGAAACUUAACUGUAAAAUCGCUUCAGAGUUUUGUACUUAUUUAUUUUUUACAUCAAUGUAUAAGUUUUACAGGCAACCCUAACCCAUGGUCAAACAUGGAGGUGGUCCAGUCUCCUGUUCCUGGAGAUAUACUGUACCUACCAGCCAAGUUCAGUUCUAACCCUAAUUAAACGCACAUAUCUGUAAUUAUCAAGUGCUCCUGAAGAUCUUAAUUAACUUCAGUUUUGUUCGAGCAGGGUUAGAGCUGAACUUUGAAGGUAGGUAGAUCUCCAGGUACUGGAUAUGUCACUCGUGUUCAAGACUAUUCAAACACCUGUCAAAUCUAAAUGCAGAUAAUAUGGCUUUGAUCUAUAAAAAGGUUAUGAAUUUUACUGAUCAGUGUGAUGCUUGUUUGUAUCAUCAUCUUUUUAGGAUUGAACGUCUUUGGCGAGAUGUAUACACACAAGUCCUUGAUUUGUUCCACACAUUGUUUUACCAUUUGGAGAUGACUGGACUGUUGAACCCUGAUGAUGAGAUCCACAUUUUUGCUCUGCAUUGGACCUUUUCCCUCCAGUUACAACAUCAGCUUAACACUUUUAAAGAAGCAUGGAACUUUCACAGACUGAGAACAGAGAACGGUCGAUCUCCAUAUCAGCUUUGGCUGCAAAACAGAGAUGCUGCUGAUGAUUUAGGGACUGUUGAUGAGGACUAUGGUGUUGACUGGGAUGGACCACCUGCCAUGGAAGAUGCAAACAGCAUUUCAAUCCCAGAUGUGCAGUUGCCACGCAGCCUCACUGCAGAGGAGAUUGCAGGUCUUCCCAACCGGGAUGUUCCACUAAAUGCCACAGUGAAUGUUUAUAAUUCCACAGUGGAACAACUGACAGAGAUUUUAAGAUAUUAGAUGUUCUUGUUUGGAGCAUUGAGGACUGACGCCAUGAACUGACUUUCUUUUGGUGAGUUUAUUGUAACAUUGUGUAUGAAAUGCCUGAAUUACAGCAAGGCUUUCUGAUAACUUGUUCUUAUGUAAACUUCAUUUAACUCACAAGAAUUUUGAACAAUGCAAAACUGGGAAAGUUCCUUUCAAGAACAUGCAUUUAUAAAACAACAAUAAAAAUGCUGAAGACGACA
ensembl:lncRNA